rnacentral:rRNA from 1 species
GGAUAACUACCCUUAGGACUGGGAUAACCCUGGGAAACUGGGGAUAAUACCGGAUAGGCAAUUUUUCCUGGAAUGGUUUUUUGUUUAAAUGUUUUUUCGCCUAAGGAUGGGUCUGCGGCCGAUUAGGUAGUUGGUUAGGUAACGGCUUACCAAGCCAUUGAUCGGUACGGGUUGUGAGAGCAAGAGCCCGGAGAUGGAACCUGAGACAAGGUUCCAGGCCCUACGGGGUGCAGCAGGCGCGAAACCUCCGCAAUGUGAGAAAUCGCGACGGGGGGAUCCCAAGUGCCAUUCUCAACGGGAUGGCUUUUCAUUAGUGUAAAGAGCUUUUGGAAUAAGGGCUGGGCAAGACCGGUGCCAGCCGCCGCGGUAACACCGGCAGCUCUAGUGGUAGCAGUUUUUAUUGGGCCUAAAGCGUCCGUAGCCGGUUUAAUAAGUCUCUGGUGAAAUCCUGUAGCUUAACUGUGGGAAUUGCUGGAGAUACUAUUAGACUUGAGACCGGGAGAGGUUAGAGGUACUCCCAGGGUAGAGGUGAAAUUCUGUAAUCCUGGGAGGACCGCCUGUUGCGAAGGCGUCUAACUGGAACGGUUCUGACGGUGAGGGACGAAAGUUAGGGGCGCGAACCGGAUUAGAUACCCGGGUAGUCCUAACUGUAAACGAUGCGGACUUGGUGUUGGGGUGGCUUUGAGCUGCUUCAGUGCCGAAGGGAAGCUGUUAAGUCCGCCGCCUGGGAAGUACGGUCGCAAGACUGAAACUUAA